UACGUAGGGGGCAAGCGUUGUCCGGAAUCACUGGGCGUAAAGCGCGCGCAGGCGGUCUGUUACGUCCGAGGUGAAAGUCCAGGGCUCAACCCUGGGAGUGCCUUGGAAACGGGGAGACUAGAGGAUCGGAGAGGCAAGGGGAAUUCCACGUGUAGCGGUGAAAUGCGUAGAGAUGUGGAGGAACACCAGUGGCGAAGGCGCCUUGCUGGCCGAUGACUGACGCUGAGGCGCGAAAGCGUGGGGAGCAAACAGG
rnacentral:rRNA from 1 species